rnacentral:misc_RNA from 1 species
GAAUAGCCCUGACAGCAGCAGAAAGCCUAUGCCGGUGGAAAGUCACUUUUUUCUGGUGGUGGCAGAGCGACCAAAGGAAGCUCCUGCAAGCGCCUAGAAAAAGGUCUUGACACCAAAUAGCUUGCAGCGUAGGGCAGGAAUAGCU